UUUGUGUUGAAAGAGGGAUGCAACUUACUUAAAUGUUUCCACGAUAUGCCAUCUUACUUGGAUACAACAACGAAAUGAGAUAUAGGAGAGCACCAAAGUACUAUAGAAGCAUUACCCGAAGUGAUACGUCGUAAGCUAUGAUAGCAUAAAAUAAUUUUACCUAUUACAUAAAUCAAGAAUCAUAUAAUCAAAAGAUCAUGAAUAGUCACCACUCGACGCACUGUGUAGCGAAAGAAAGUGGUAAGAAUCUAAAAAAACAACCACGGUGUUGUGUAUGUGAAAGUAGAGUAUGUAAUCGUUCAUAGUUUCACUAUCUUCUCUGCAAGUGUAAUACUCUACGGUUCAAUAGCAAAUUCAGAAGGGAUAUCUAGAAGAGAGAAGAAAAAAAUUAUAAUCAUUAUUAGGUACAACGAUCGGGAACGUGUCGCAUUCUUAAUGUUCCCUUCUAUACCUUGAUCUUUCCGAGUUGUACAAAAUAAACUAUAAGUUUGUGAUAAUCAAAGUUU
rnacentral:lncRNA from 1 species